rnacentral:lncRNA from 1 species
AAAUUUAGGAGAAUAUUUUCCAUCUUUAGUAAUUCUUUUACUUGACUGAUUUAACUUGAAAAACAUAAAAAAAAAAAAAAAUAGAGUACUACAAAUAGAAUAAUUGUUUUUUUUUUCUUCUUCUAUAUCAUUACUACUUAGUACUAGGCAUGUCAAUCGGGAUAGCCCGGCCCGGCCCGACCCGAAACCCGUAAAGCCCUCAUAUAUGUGAGCCCGG